AAUAUUGGGACAUAUAAAAAAAGACAACUCUGUUCCGCAGAGUAGCUGUUGACAUUAUAGUUGCGCAGGAACUUUGUUGACUCUAGAGAACCUCGGGCAAAUCACGCAUCCCGUGGCGGCGACUUUGCAUGCAGAUGUCAUCCAUAUCAACUUUCGAUGCCAGUUUCUGCGCCUACCAUGAUGACCAUGGGUAAUGGGGAAUCAGGAUUCCAUUCCGUACAGGGACCCUGAGAAACGGCUACCACAUGCAAGGAAGGCAGCAGUCGCGCAAAUGACCCACUCCCGACGCGGGAAGGUAGUGA